rnacentral:misc_RNA from 1 species
UGUGGGAGCGAGCCUGCUCGCGAUGCGCAAGCACAUUCAACAUCGAGGUGCCUGUCAGUCCGCUAUCGCGAGCAGGCUCGCUCCCACA